UACGUAGGAUGCUAGCGUUGUCCGGAUUUACUGGGCGUAAAGCGCGCGCAGGCGGCACUGUAAGUAAGGUGUGAAAUAUCCCUGCUCAACGGGGAGGGUGCACUUUAGACUGCAGAGCUAGAGGACGGUAGAGGGGGGGGUGGAAUUGCUGGUGUAGCGGUGAAAUGCGUAGAGAUCAGCAGGAACACCCGUGGCGAAGGUAGCUCGCUGGGACGGUACUGACGCUGAGGCGCGAAAGCGUGGGGAGCAAACAGG
rnacentral:rRNA from 1 species